UAGUAGCCUGCGAAAGCUGCGGGGAGCUGGCAAACGAGCUUUGAUCCGCAGAUAUCCGAAUGGGGAAACCCGGCCCGAAUGGGUCAUCCCUUGCUGAAUACAUAGGCAAGGGAAGCGAACGCAGUGAACUGAAACAUCUAAGUAGCUGCAGGAACAGAAAUCAACCGAGAUUCCCAAAGUAGUGGCGAGCGAAAUGGGAUCAGCCUUGUACUCUUUAGCAGUAUUGUUAGCAAAGCGGAAUGGAAAGUCCGGCCAUAGUGGGUGAUAGCCCCGUAUGCGAAAACAGUAUUGUGGAACUAGGUGUACGACAAGUAGGGCGGGACACGUGAAAUCCUGUCUGAAGAUGGGGGGACCAUCCUCCAAGGCUAAAUACUCGUAAUCGACCGAUAGUGAACCAGUACCGUGAGGGAAAGGCGAAAAGAACCCCGGGAGGGGAGUGAAAUAGAUCCUGAAACCGCAUGCAUACAAACAGUCGGAGCCUGGAAACGGGUGACGGCGUACCUUUUGUAUAAUGGGUCAGCGACUUACAUUCAGUGGCAAGCUUAACCGAUUAGGGAAGGCGUAGCGAAAGCGAGUCCGAAUAGGGCGUUCAGUCGCUGGGUGUAGACCCGAAACCAAGUGAUCUAUCCAUGGCCAGGUUGAAGGUGCGGUAACACGUACUGGAGGACCGAACCCACUAACGUUGAAAAGUUAGGGGAUGAGCUGUGGAUAGGGGUGAAAGGCUAAACAAACUUGGAAAUAGCUGGUUCUCUCCGAAAACUAUUUAGGUAGUGCCUCGUGUCUCACCUUCGGGGGUAGAGCACUGUCAUGGUUGGGGGGUCUAUUGCUGAUUACCCCGCCAUAGCAAACUCCGAAUACCGAAGAGUGCAAUCACGGGAGACAGACAUCGGGUGCUAACGUCCGGUGUCAAGAGGGAAACAACCCAGACCGCCAGCUAAGGUCCCUAAAUAUUGCUAAGUGGGAAACGAAGUGGGAAGGCUAAAACAGUCAGGAGGUUGGCUUAGAAGCAGCCACCCUUUAAAGAAAGCGUAAUAGCUCACUGAUCGAGUCGUCCUGCGCGGAAGAUGUAACGGGGCUAAGCAAUAUACCGAAGCUGCGGAUGCACGUAAGUGCAUGGUAGGAGAGCGUUCUGUAAGCCUGUGAAGGUGUCUUGUAAAGGAUGCUGGAGGUAUCAGAAGUGCGAAUGCUGACAUGAGUAGCGAUAAAGGGGGUGAAAGGCCCCCUCGCCGUAAGCCCAAGGUUUCCUACGCAACGUUCAUCGGCGUAGGGUGAGUCGGCCCCUAAGGCGAGGCAGAGAUGCGUAGCUGAUGGGAAGCAGGUUAAUAUUCCUGCACCGUCGUAUGAUGCGAUGGGGGGACGGAUCGCGGAAGGUUGUCCGGGUGUUGGAUGUCCCGGUCCCUGCAUUGGAGAUGGCACUUAGGCAAAUCCGGGUGCGUGAUUCAAGGGUGUGGGGCGAGCGACUUUAGGUCGCGAAGCAAUUGGAAG
rnacentral:rRNA from 1 species